rnacentral:rRNA from 1 species
AGAGUUUGAUCCUGGCUCAGAUUGAACGCUGGCGGCAGGCCUAACACAUGCAAGUCGAGCGGUAGAGAGAAGCUUGCUUCUCUUGAGAGCGGCGGACGGGUGAGUAAUGCCUAGGAAUCUGCCUGGUAGUGGGGGAUAACGUCCGGAAACGGACGCUAAUACCGCAUACGUCCUACGGGAGAAAGCAGGGGACCUUCGGGCCUUGCGCUAUCAGAUGAGCCUAGGUCGGAUUAGCUAGUUGGUGGGGUAAUGGCUCACCAAGGCGACGAUCCGUAACUGGUCUGAGAGGAUGAUCAGUCACACUGGAACUGAGACACGGUCCAGACUCCUACGGGAGGCAGCAGUGGGGAAUAUUGGACAAUGGGCGAAAGCCUGAUCCAGCCAUGCCGCGUGUGUGAAGAAGGUCUUCGGAUUGUAAAGCACUUUAAGUUGGGAGGAAGGGCAGUAAAUUAAUACUUUGCUGUUUUGACGUUACCGACAGAAUAAGCACCGGCUAACUCUGUGCCAGCAGCCGCGGUAAUACAGAGGGUGCAAGCGUUAAUCGGAAUUACUGGGCGUAAAGCGCGCGUAUGUGGUUUGUUAGGUUGGAUGUGAAAUCCCCGGGCUCAACCUGGGAACUGCAUUCAAAACUGACUGACUAGAGUAUGGUAGAGGGUGGUGGAAUUUCCUGUGUAGCGGUGAAAUGCGUACAUAUAGGAAGUGACACCAGUGGCGAUCGCGACAACCUGGAGCUAUACUGACACUGACGUGCUGAUGCGUGAGGAGCAGACAGGAUAGAUACCCUGGUAGUCGAGGGCGAUUACGGUUAAACUGCAGGACUAGUACCUUUUGUGAGGGGUUAGUCUGAGCUUGCUACCAGGGGG